rnacentral:rRNA from 1 species
GAGUUUGAUCCUGGCUCAGGAUGAACGCUGGCGGCGUGCUUAACACAUGCAAGUCGAACGAAGCGCCUUAUUUGAUUUUCUUCGGAACUGAAGAUUUGGUGACUGAGUGGCGGACGGGUGAGUAACGCGUGGGUAACCUGCCCUGUACAGGGGGAUAACAAUCAGAAAUGACUGCUAAUACCGCAUAAGACCACAGCACCGCAUGGUGCAGGGGUAAAAACUCCGGUGGUACAGGAUGGACCCGCGUCUGAUUAGCUGGUUGGUGAGGUAACGGCUCACCAAGGCGACGAUCAGUAGCCGGCUUGAGAGAGUGAACGGCCACAUUGGGACUGAGACACGGCCCAAACUCCUACGGGAGGCAGCAGUGGGGAAUAUUGCACAAUGGGGGAAACCCUGAUGCAGCAACGCCGCGUGAGUGAAGAAGUAUUCGGUAUGUAAAGCUCUAUCAGCAGGGAAGAAAGUGACGGUACCUGACUAAGAAGCCCCGGCUAACUACGUGCCAACAGCCGCCGCCGU